rnacentral:lncRNA from 1 species
UCUAUUUGUGAAUUUAUUUAUUUACCAACUCGCAGGAUAAUCGUUAUCCCGCCCGACGUUAGUAUUACCCAUGGCCAUUCAUCAUGUGUUGUAAUGCCGCAUCAAUCUCAGCUUCAAAAUGGUAAGCCACAGCUUCAAUCAAGUUGAGCUGCUGCUGAGGCUCAUUGGCAGCUCCCAAUAGCAUCUUCUUUCAGUAGUUGUGAUUAUUUCUUUGUGGCAGCAUCGGACAUGAAAAUUGUAAUAUCCAUGAACUCUUUUCGUGAAUCAAAUGGGAUGAAAAUUGGCAGAGCCACGAACAAUUUGAGGCGGCACAACCACAUUAUUUUGGGUUGAAGGAGGACCAGAUGAAGCCUG